CCCUUAGAUGUUCUGGGCCGCACGCGCGCUACACUGACGGAGGCAGCGAGCAUGUCCUUCGCCGAGAGGUGUGGGGAAUCUUGUGAGUCUCCGUCGUGCUGGGGAUAGAUGGUUGCAAUUGUCGAUCUUGAACGAGGAAUUCCUAGUAAGCGCGAGUCAUCAGCUCGCGCUGAUUACGUCCCUGCCCUUUGUACACACCGUCCGUCGCUACUACCGAUUGGAUGGCUUAGCGAGAAUUUUGGAUCGGAGCCCGGGUGGUCGGCAACGGUCGCCCGGGAGAUCUGAGAAAUCAUUCCAGCUUGGUCAUCUAGAGGAAGUAAAAGUCGUAACA
rnacentral:rRNA from 1 species